rnacentral:lncRNA from 10 species
UGCCAGCACUUUGGGAGGUCAAGGUGGGAGGAUCGCUUGAGCCCAGGAGUUUGUGACCAGCCUGGUCAACAUAAGGAGACCUCAUCUCAAUAAAAAAGAAAAAAGAAAAAAAAAUAUAGCUCUCUCUCCAUGUCAGUACAUAUAAGGUGUCAUUUCUGUUAAUGGCUACUUAACCUUCCAUGGUAAGAAGUACUAUCAGGGAUUCAACUGGUCCUGUUUGAUUGAAGAGUCAGCCUAUUUCUGAUGUUUUGCUAUCACAGAGUAUUUUAGCAAGUAUAUAUAUGAUGUAGGUAAAGAGGCAGAUAAACACAUGCACACUGAGUAAGAGAGAGAGAGAGAGACUGAGAUUGCUGCAUUCUGUGAGUUUUAUUUCUGCGGGUUUAGUUUAUCCAAUAUGGCAUUUCUGUGUUAAAAGAGAGAACCAUCUAAAUCCUUCCUUGAAACUUGUGGGCCUUAUGUGUGUUUUCAAUCAACAGAUACUAGAAGUACAGUUUGGGGGUUGUGAAAUGCUUUAACCCCGCAUAGGGGUUUUCACACUGGCCUGGACAAGGCCAGGGCUCAGAAGAGAGAGCAUUGCAGAAGGAGGAACUGCCCCUGGCCUGCCUUCCUCUCUCUGGGAAGGAAGAGUUGCAGCUACUUUGUAGAGCAUUCUUGUUUUCUCCUUUGUCUCCUAACGUGUACUUUGAACCUGGUUUGGAAGCAGUCCCUCCACAUCAGGGCCUAGCACUCAGGAGACUGAUCUGGCACUCAGGAGCGCCAGAACCCGAACGGUCCAAGUAGGCCCUCUGGGCCACCUCUCUUGUGUUAUAGAUGGGGAAACCAAGGCCCAGAGAAGGGAAGUAUUAGCCCAGGGUCACCCAGCAAGUUGGUGCCACAACGGAGUCCCUGAGAAGCCUACCAACUCCCAAGCUGGCAUCAGGGUCAUUUAUUUGGUAUCUGCUGGGUGAGGGGCACAGGGUCAGGCCUUGACUGGAAUUGCAUCUGCUCUGUGUCUGGGGACAAGUCCGUUACCUCCUCUGGGACUCAGCUUUCCUGUCUGGAUAAACCUUUGUCCCAAGGCUGCCGAGAAGGUCCAGCGAUCACAGGAAGAAUUAAGUGUACAUGAUGGGGUGGGGGGUGAAAGGAGUUGGGGUGGGCGGCAUUAGGGGCAGACUCCCUUGAGGCCCGAGGGCCGCGUGGGGCUGUGCCCAGGUGAGCCCAUUCUUCCAUUUGCUCCGCAGCUGGUAUUCCCUCUCGAGUGGUUUCCACUCAACAAGCCCAGUGUUGGGGACUACUUCCACAUGGCCUACAACGUCAUCACGCCCUUUCUCUUGCUCAAGGUACUGUCCCAGGGCCCCCACUCUCUCCUGUCAUCCCCAUUCUUUGCACACCUGGCAGGAAGGUGAUGCUAAGCCCUGUGUCCUGACUCAAGCACGCUCCUGCCUGCUGCUGGGGGGUGAAG